ACGGAAGGCAGCAGUGGGGAAUAUUGGGCAAUGGGGGAAACCCUGACCCAGCAACGCCGCGUGCGGGAAGACGGUCUUCGGAUUGUAAACCGCUUUUCUUAGUGAAGAAUUUUGACGGUAGCUAAGGAAUAAGCAUCGGCUAACUACGUGCCAGCAGCCGCGGUAAUACGUAGGAUGCAAGCGUUGUCCGGAUUUACUGGGUGUAAAGGGAGCGCAGGCGGGACUGCAAGUUGGAUGUGAAAUGUCGAGGCUUAACCUCGGAACUGCAUCCAAAACUGUAGUUCUUGAGUGGAGUAGAGGCAAGCGGAAUUCCGAGUGUAGCGGUGAAAUGCGUAGAUAUUCGGAGGAACACCAGUGGCGAAGGCGGCUUGCUGGGCUUUAACUGACGCUGAGGCUCGAAAGUGUGGGGAGCAAACAGGAUUAGAUACCCUGGUA
rnacentral:rRNA from 1 species